AUUGAACGCUGGCGGCAUGCUUUACACAUGCAAGUCGAACGGUAACAGGCCGCAAGGUGCUGACGAGUGGCGAACGGGUGCGUAAUGCAUCGGAACGUGCCCAGUCGUGGGGGAUAACUACUCGAAAGAGUAGCUAAUACCGCAUACGAUCUAUGGAUGAAAGCGGGGGACCGUAAGGCCUCGCGCGAUUGGAGCGGCCGAUGUCAGAUUAGGUAGUUGGUGGGGUAAAGGCUCACCAAGCCAACGAUCUGUAGCUGGUCUGAGAGGACGACCAGCCACACUGGGACUGAGACACGGCCCAGACUCCUACGGGAGGCAGCAGUGGGGAAUUUUGGACAAUGGGCGCAAGCCUGAUCCAGCAAUGCCGCGUGCAGGAAGAAGGCCUUCGGGUUGUAAACUGCUUCUGUACGGAACGAAACGGCUCUGGUUAAUACCCGGGGCUAAUGACGGUACCGUAAGAAUAAGCACCGGCUAACUACGUG
rnacentral:rRNA from 1 species